UUAACGAGUUAGGGUCUCUCUGGCCCGACCUCCCAACCCUUUGUCUACUUGACCAUCGUUGCUUCGGCGAGCCCGUCCUCACGGACCGCCGGAGGGAUCUUUACUGGCCCUCUGGUCCGCGCUCGUCGGUAGCCCAACCUUUAAAAUCUUUAACUAAACGUGCCUUAAUCUAAGUACAAUUAUUAAAUAAAAGCAAAACUUUCAACAACGGAUCUCUUGGUUCUGGCAUCGAUGAAGAACGCAGCGAAAUGCGAUAAGUAAUGCGAAUUGCAGAAUUCCAGUGAGUCAUCGAAUCUUUGAACGCACAUUGCGCCCUUUGGUAUUCCGAAGGGCAUGCCUGUUCGAGCGUCAUUAUCACCCCUCAAGCCCUCGGCUUGGUGUUGGACGGUUUGGUGGAGGCCCCCUCGGGGGCUCCUGCCCCUCCCAAAGACAAUGACGGCGGCCUCGUUGGACCCCCGGUACACUGAGUUCUUCACGGGACACGUAUCGGACACAUGGGUUUACGGGACACGGUCUGCCUCCCCUCAGGGAGAAUCUUUCUAAGGUUGACCUCGGAUCAGGUAGGGAUACCCGCUGAACUUAAGCAUAUCAAUAAGCGGAGGAAAAGAAACCAACAGGGAUUGCCUCAGUAACGGCGAGUGAAGCGGCAACAGCUCAAUUUGAAAUCUGGCCUCUUUGGGGUCCGAGUUGUAAUUUG
rnacentral:rRNA from 1 species